rnacentral:rRNA from 1 species
UACGAAGGGUGCAAACGUUGCUCGGAAUCAUUGGGCGUAAAGCGCACGUAGGCGGCUUUGCAAGUCGGACGUGAAAUCCCUCAGCUCAACUGAGGAAGUGCAUCCGAGACUGCAAGGCUUGAGUACUGAAGCGGAUCGCGGAAUUCCCGGUGUAGAGGUGAAAUUCGUAGAUAUCGGGAGGAACACCAGUGGCGAAGGCGGCGAUCUGGGCAGAUACUGACGCUGAGGCGCGAAAGCGUGGGGAGCGAUCCGG